rnacentral:tRNA from 1 species
GCGCGAGUGGCGGAAUUGGCAGACGCGCUGGAUUUAGGUUCCAGUGGUUCACACCGUGCGGGUUCGAGUCCCGCCUCGCGUACCA